rnacentral:rRNA from 1 species
AGUGAACGCUGGCGGUAGGCCUAACACAUGCAAGUCGAACGGCAGCACAGUAAGAGCUUGCUCUUACGGGUGGCGAGUGGCGGACGGGUGAGGAAUACAUCGGAAUCUACUUUUUCGUGGGGGAUAACGUAGGGAAACUUACGCUAAUACCGCAUACGACCUACGGGUGAAAGCAGGGGAUCUUCGGACCUUGCGCGAUUGAAUGAGCCGAUGUCGGAUUAGCUAGUUGGCGGGGUAAAGGCCCACCAAGGCGACGAUCCGUAGCUGGUCUGAGAGGAUGAUCAGCCACACUGGAACUGAGACGCGGUCCAGACUCCUACGGGAGGCAGCAGUGGGGAAUAUUGCACAAUGGGCGGAAGCCUGAUGCAGCAACGCCGCGUGCGGGAUGACGGCCUUCGGGUUGUAAACCGCUUUCGCCUGUGACGAAGCGUGAGUGACGGUAAUGGGUAAAGAAGCACCGGCUAACUACGUG